rnacentral:tRNA from 1 species
CGAGACCUAGUUCAAUGGAUAGAGCGUCGGCCUCCGGAGCCGAAGAUAUGGGUUCGAGUCCCGUGGUCUCGA